GACGAACGCUGGCGGCGUGCUUAACACAUGCAAGUCGAACGGAAAGGCCCUGCUUUUGUGGGGUGCUCGAGUGGCGAACGGGUGAGUAACACGUGAGUAACCUGCCCUUGACUUUGGGAUAACUUCAGGAAACUGGGGCUAAUACCGGAUAGGAGCUCCUGCUGCAUGGUGGGGGUUGGAAAGGUUCGGCGGUUGGGGAUGGACUCGCGGCUUAUCAGCUUGUUGGUGGGGUAGUGGCUUACCAAGGCUUUGACGGGUAGCCGGCCUGAGAGGGUGACCGGCCACAUUGGGACUGAGAUACGGCCCAGACUCCUACGGGAGGCAGCAGUGGGGAAUAGUGCACAAUGGGCGGAAGCCUGAUGCAGCAGCGCCGCGUGCGGGAUGACGGCCUUCGGGUUGUAAACCGCUUUCGCCUGUGACGAAGCGUGAGUGACGGUAAUGGGUAAAGAAGCACCGGCUAACUACGUG
rnacentral:rRNA from 1 species